GGAGAUUUUAUUUAAAGCAGUUGUUUGUGUUCCAACAAUGGCCAUCAGAUGGCCCUCUAAAUGAGCUAAAUUCUAAAAAGGAGAGACCCUCACAAAUGUCCACAU